GUUGUGGCUCAGUGGUAUAGAGUGCUUGCCUAGCAUGUGUGUGGCACUGGGUUCGAUUUUCAGUGCACA
rnacentral:tRNA from 1 species